rnacentral:rRNA from 1 species
AGUGAACGCUGGCGGUAGGCCUAACACAUGCAAGUCGAACGGCAGCACAGAGGAGCUUGCUCCUUGGGUGGCGAGUGGCGGACGGGUGAGGAAUACAUCGGAAUCUACUCUGUCGUGGGGGAUAACGUAGGGAAACUUACGCUAAUACCGCAUACGACCUACGGGUGAAAGCAGGGGACCUUCGGGCCUUGCGCGAUUGAAUGGGCCGAUGUCGGAUUAGCUAGUUGGCGGGGUAAAGGCCCACCAAGGCGACGAUCCGUAGCUGGUCUGAGAGGAAGAUCAGCCACACUGGAACUGAGACACGGUCCAGACUCCUACGGGAGGCAGCAGUGGGGAAUAUUGGACAAUGGGCGCAAGCCUGAUCCGGCCAUACCGCGUGGGUGAAGAAGGCCUUCGGGUUGUAAAGCCCUUUUGUUGGGAAAGAAAUCCAGCUGGCUAAUACCCGGUUGGGAUGACGGUACCCAAAGAAUAAGCACCGGCUAACUUCGUGCCAGCCGCCGCGGUAA